rnacentral:lncRNA from 1 species
UAGGGAGGGGAAUUUGGUUGCUGCUUCCUCUCUCUCUUUAGUGUUGGACAUAGUUCGUGGUGGAGGUCGUGGCUCGAGCUCGGGUGAUUUUCGACGUUGCUCUGGAGGGCCAUUCGAGUGUGUGUGCGUUGCAGUUGCGCCAUUGGAGGCCGGGCGAGCGCGUGAAUUUCCUCCUUUCGACUUCUCGCCGUGGUUGGACGAGUAUUUCGAGGUGGGUUGAAGUUUACCGAAAUCGUCGGAUUUCCUCCUAAGCCGAGUUUUUGUCAACAUGUGUAUUUCAUGUGUAGUAUCAUGUUAGUAGCUUAAUUCACCGAUUUGCAUAGUUUUUAUGAAAUCUGAGUUGGAGCUUUAAAUUCUAGAUUCGUUUUACAUGUUGGACUUGGAAUUGACUUAGGAGAAAACUAUUGAACCCUGCACUGUCAUUUCUGAAAAGUUACCAAAUUUAGCUUUAGGAGCUGUGGUUCUUUUGUAUUGCCGCUGUUAGGAUGCGGUGGAUACCCAGAUUAGUGUAGGAUGAGUUUACGCUCGUGCUGAGAUGCCGAGCUUGUUUUACAGUAGGAUGUCGAUCGUUUUGUACUGUUGGGUGCCGUCGUGGUUGACGGUGGACCCAGAUUUCUGUAUAUUGUAUCAGAUUGUGCUAAGGGCACAUGAGUUUUUAUUGUUAGACCAGUUAGACCCUUUUUGCAUUGACUAUAGCCUGUGAGAGCCUAAUUGAGCUCUACAGAGACACGCUUGCAUACU